UACGAAGGGGGCUAGCGUUGCUCGGAAUUACUGGGCGUAAAGCGCACGUAGGCGGCUCUUUAAGUCGGAGGUGAAAUCCUGGAGCUCAACUCCAGAACUGCCUUCGAUACUGAAGAGCUCGAGUUCGGGAGAGGUGAGUGGAACUGCGAGUGUAGAGGUGAAAUUCGUAGAUAUUCGCAAGAACACCAGUGGCGAAGGCGGCUCACUGGCCCGAUACUGACGCUGAGGCACGAAAGCGUGGGGAGCAAACAGG
rnacentral:rRNA from 1 species